rnacentral:lncRNA from 1 species
UUGGGGUUGCAUCUUCAUUCCAAACAACUUCAGCUCCAAGAGGACUUUCACAAACAGAGUCUUGCUCUAUCACCAGGCUGGAGUGCAGUGGCAUAAUCUCGGCUCACAGCAACACCCGCCUUCUGGGUUCAACCAUUUUUCUGCCUCAGCCUCCCAAGUAGCUCAACUUGGGACUACAGAGUGCGGCUUUGCUUCAGAUAGUAUAUAAAAUUGAAUAUGGGAAUAAAGAGAACUUUACACAAUCUGUUCUAAAAUUUCUGACUUUUGUUUCUUCCUGAUGCCAUGUUGCAGGCUGGAAAUUUCACUACAGU